UACGUAGGGUGCGAGCGUUGUCCGGAAUUACUGGGCGUAAAGAGCUCGUAGGCGGUUUGUCGCGUCUGCCGUGAAAGUCCGGGGCUCAACUCCGGAUCUGCGGUGGGUACGGGCAGACUAGAGUGAUGUAGGGGAGACUGGAAUUCCUGGUGUAGCGGUGAAAUGCGCAGAUAUCAGGAGGAACACCGAUGGCGAAGGCAGGUCUCUGGGCAUUAACUGACGCUGAGGAGCGAAAAGCAUGGGGGAGCGAACAGG
rnacentral:rRNA from 1 species